rnacentral:tRNA from 1 species
GUUACUUUGGCAGAAUUAUGCAUUGGACUUAGGACCCAAUUAUGCGAGUUUUAACUCUCGUAGGUAAUA